rnacentral:rRNA from 1 species
AUUGAACGCUGGCGGCAUGCCUUACACAUGCAAGUCGAACGGCAGCACGGGUGCUUGCACCUGGUGGCGAGUGGCGAACGGGUGAGUAAUACAUCGGAACAUGUCCUGUAGUGGGGGAUAGCCCGGCGAAAGCCGGAUUAAUACCGCAUACGAUCCACGGAUGAAAGCGGGGGACCUUCGGGCCUCGCGCUAUAGGGUUGGCCGAUGGCUGAUUAGCUAGUUGGUGGGGUAAAGGCCUACCAAGGCGACGAUCAGUAGCUGGUCUGAGAGGGCGACCAGCCACGGUGGGAGUGAGGUACGGACCAGACUCGGAUGGGAGGCAGGAGUUGGGAGUCGAGUACAACGGUCGGAAGCCUGAUACAGCAACGCCGCGUGCGGGAGGAGGGAGGUCGGGUGGGAAAAAGCUUUCGCCUGUGACGAAGGGGGAGUGACGGGAAUGAGUAAAGAAGCAACGGCUAACUACGUG